rnacentral:rRNA from 1 species
UACGAACUGUGCGAACGUUAUUCGGAAUCACUGGGCUUACAGGGUGCGUAGGCGGCGCGGUAAGCGUGCGGUGAAAGCCCGGGGCUCAACCCCGGGUCGGCCGUGCGGACUGCCGGGCUGGAGCACUGUAGAGGCAGGUGGAAUUCCGGGUGUAGCGGUGGAAUGCGUAGAGAUCCGGAAGAACACCGGUGGCGAAGGCGGCCUGCUGGGCAGUAGCUGACGCUGAAGCGCGACAGCGUGGGGAGCAAACAGG